rnacentral:lncRNA from 1 species
GCCACAGUGGCCACCGGAAGCCUCAGCCCGCUUCCGCCGUCCGCCCCCCAGUGGCCACGCCCCCCAGGAGUCGCACUUUUUUACCGCCUGGAGGCGUGUGAGAUGCGGCGUAGCGACAUCUACCCGGCCUCUCGCUCGCUCCACCCCUAGGCAGCAUUUCUAAGCGUCGGCUCACCUAGGGAGCUCAAAAGAAUGGGAAGAAGUCUACAGUGUUCACCCAUCAUCUAGGGUUCAACUGUUGUUUCCCUUUUGCCCUAUCUGCUCCAUCCUGGUCUACAGGAAGCAAGUCAACCCUCCUCUAAGCCAAGCUACAUAUGUGACUCUAGAGCACCUCCUUCCUCUUCCUGAACUUGGCACCGCCCCCUUCAGACCUUCUGGAUGCUCAGACUCCUCUGUUGAAAACACAUCGUUGGGAAGCAGGAAGAUGGAAUACUCCAUUCCAGGCAUGACUGUGGGCUGUGGAAUUUCGAGAGCAAGACAGUGGGCUGAGGGGUGGGGUUGGGUCCACCUCCCUCUGCCCUCCAGUCUCUCUGCCUAAUGCCAGAAAACUUGCCAAGGGACGUCCCCCUCCAUAUAUCUAUCUCCUUUGAAAAUGCACCCCUCUAUCUUACGCCAGGGGGACCCCAUAUUAUCCUCCCUCCUCCAGCCUGGGCCUUUCCUUGCUCUCCUGUCUCCAGAGCCCUGCUCUGAUCUUCCUGGGCCCAGGUCAAGCCCCUCUCCCAAAGGCUGUGGGUUUGCCCCUUCCAGGCUAUGUCUGAAAGACUGACUUGAAAAAGAAAGAAAAAUAAGAAUGUCAGACCAUGAUUGUGCAGGUCUAAGGUUAGUUUAUUUCUCUCCCCAAUUCAGCUUACUGUCAGCUUAUUACUGAAUAAUUUCUUCUCUAAUAGCCUUCUUCCCUGGAUAAAGAGGCCAUCAUAUUGACUUUUUUCUAAGUACAAUGGUGUGGGUGUGUGUAUGUGUGUGUGUUUGGGAGGAUAGGGGUGCAGCCAGCUUAAUGUUACUCUGAGCUGGUCGACUGAGAGCAACCUAAGCAAAUAGGAUGCGAUUCCUGGUUUUAGUGAGCGUGUAGGGGGCUGGGGGCUUGCUUCCCUGAUGGCUCAGUGGUGAAGAAUCCUCCUGCCAAUACAGAAGACUCAGUUCAAUCCCUGGGUUGGGAAUAUCCCCUGAAGAUGAAAAUGGCAACCCACUCCACUAUUUUUGCCUAGAAAAUCCUGUGGACAGAGGAGCCUGGUGGGCUACAGUCCAUGGGGUUGCAGAAGAGUCAGACAUGACUUAGGGAGUAAACAAUAAAGGGGCUGGGGAGGGGAGCGGGGAAAGCA